rnacentral:misc_RNA from 1 species
UUAACGUCAAACCACUUAGGGCCGCGAACCUCGGCAGUCAGUCGAUCUUUCCUAACGGCAGCAUUCCGGCAUUUUCCAGCUGAUCGGGCGCGGGCGGUUCGCGGUUAGUUCGGCAAUCGCCAUUUUGUACGUCACACGCAUCGUGUUGUUGUACAUCGUCGCGUCGUCGUCGGUGUUUUCAUCGCCGACGUUGGUCGUCGUCGUCGUCGUCGCGUCGUCGUCGUCCUCGUCGUUGUUUUCGUCGUCGGUCGUCGAUCGUAACAACGUCACGCCGGCGUUUCUCUCAUUGUACAUAUUACAUAUAUAUAUAUAUACAGACACCCACGCACACCCACAUACACAUCAUUUAUAUAUAUGUAUACGUAUAUGUGUUAAUUCGGAGUGUGUGUCGUUCCGCGACGCGCCGUUCCGCCGUUCCUCUCGUUUCUAUCUCACCGUUCGUUUUUAAAGGAACAGUCUCGUGCGCGCGUUUCAACUAUUUUUCUCAUCCCUCACACUUUGUGCGUGGUUUUUUAAUAAACGUGCUGCACCCACACGCGCGCGUGCUCGCGUGCACGAGGGGAUGUUUCGGAUUGGAUGAAACACGAGAAUAAACGAGGAGCUGUUAGUAGGAUACAUUUAUGACAGAACGAAGUGUUACCGCGUCAAAGGAAGUCAAGAGGGAAUCUUGACUCUGACAAUUGGGGAUCUUUGUUAUCGACUAAAA